rnacentral:rRNA from 1 species
GAUGAACGCUAGCGGCAGGCCUAACACAUGCAAGUCGAGGGGCAGCACGUCUUCGGAUGGUGGCGACCGGCGCACGGGUGCGUAACGCGUAUGCAACCUACCUCUUACAGUGGGAUAGCCCAGAGAAAUUUGGAUUAAUACCGCAUAGUAUACAGAUUCAGCAUUGGGACUGUAUUAAACAUUUAUGGGUAAGAGAUGGGCAUGCGUUCUAUUAGUUAGUUGGAGUGGUAACGGCACCCCAAGACAGCGAUAGAUAGGGGCCCUGAGAGGGGGAUCCCCCACACUGGUACUGAGACACGGACCAGACUCCUACGGGAGGCAGCAGUGAGGAAUAUUGGACAAUGGGCGAGAGCCUGAUCCAGCCAUGCCGCGUGCAGGAAGACGGCCCUAU